CCUCACUUAGCCCUGACAAGCCUCAAAAGCUCUUUCACAGCAAGCCAUGCGUGAACUCGACGUCUCCUGCUCCAGCACCUUCUACCUGACUUUAUCCUGUGCUGUUACAACAGGCAUAACAGGCUUGGACAGGCGUGGUCCUCUGCAAAUGAGAGGGAGAUGCAAUGUGAUGGCCAAGACGACCUUGGGCUUUGUGGAGCCAAGCAAUGGGCUGAGAACCGAAGUGGAAGGAUCCAGCAGGUGUGUUUUAGUGGGAACAGAGAUGGAAAGAAGAAGAGCGGAGAUGUUUCAAUCCUCCCUUCCACCUCAAGCAAAUGGCAUCUCCUCGGCAGGAAUGCAACUGCAGGACUGCAUGGUGGGACCACAUCCUUCAGCC